UGGGAGACAUGGUCAGGAUCACCUGCUCUGGGGGUGGCAGCUACUAUGGCUGGUACCAGCAGAAGGUCCCUGGCAGUGGCCCUGUCACUGUGAUCUAUGCUGGUAACAGCAGACCCUCGGGCAUCCCUUCGCGAUUCUCCGCAUCCACAUCCGGCUCCUCGAACACGUUAACCAUCACUGGGGUCCAAGCCGAGGACGAGGCUGUCUAUUUCUGUGGUAGCUAUGACAGCAGCAGUACUGCUGGUGUAUUCGGGGCCGGGACGAUUUUGAAUGUCGCAGGCCAGCCCCAGGUGGCUCCCACCGUGCACCUCUUCGCGCCAUCCUCCGAGGAGAUGGAGUCACUGGGCAAGGCCACCCUGGUGUGCCUGAUGGAGAACUUCUACCCACGCACUGUGACGGUGGAAUGGGUGGGUGACGGCAACACCAUCUCCACUGGCGUGGAGACCAGCCAGCCCCAGCAGCAGAGCAACAGCCAGUACAUGGCCAGCAGUUACCUGUCGAUGGAUGCCACCAAGUGGCAGAGUUACAAUUAUGUCUCGUGCAAGGUCAGGCACGUGGCUGGAAACGUGGAGAAGACCGUGAACAGAUCCGAGUGUUCCUAACCCGCCCCGCCGGCCCUGUGCUGGCUCCCUCCCUCCUCCCCACUUCUGGGAACAGCGGCUCCCCCAGCCGCAGGUGUCUCUGCCCAUGUCUGCCCGUCCCCUGCUCCUGUCCCCUCACUGUGAGUGUCACACAAAUAAACAGCGACACUGAACUAGCGCUGGCUCAGCA